UACGUAGGGUGCGAGCGUUGUCCGGAAUUAUUGGGCGUAAAGAGCUCGUAGGCGGUUUGUUGCGUCGGCUGUGAAAUCCCGAGGCUCAACCUCGGGUCUGCAGUCGAUACGAGCAAACUAGAGUGUUGCAGGGGAGACUGGAAUUCCUGGUGUAGCGGUGAAAUGCGCCAGAUAUCAGGAGGAACACCAAUUGCGAAGGCAGCUCGCUGGGACGUUACUGACGCUGAGACGCGAAAGCGUGGGGAGCAAACAGG
rnacentral:rRNA from 1 species